rnacentral:rRNA from 1 species
CCUACGGGAGGCAGCAGUGGGGAAUAUUGCACAAUGGGGGAAACCCUGAUGCAGCGACGCCGCGUGAGUGAAGAAGUAUUUCGGUAUGUAAAGCUCUAUCAGCAGGGAAGAAAAUGACGGUACCUGAUUAAGAAGCCCCGGCUAACUACGUGCCAGCAGCCGCGGUAAUACGUAGGGGGCAAGCGUUAUCCGGAUUUACUGGGUGUAAAGGGAGCGUAGACGGCAGCACAAGUCUGGAGUGAAAUGCCGGGGCUUAACCCCGGAACUGCUUUGGAAACUGUGCAGCUAGAGUGCAGGAGAGGUAAGUGGAAUUCCUAGUGUAGCGGUGGAAUGCGUAGAUAUUAGGAGGAACACCAGUGGCGAAGGCGGCUUACUGGACUGUAACUGACGUUGAGGCUCGAAAGCGUGGGGAGCAAACGGGAUUAGAUACCCCUGUAGUC